GCGAACGGGUGAGUAACACGUGGGCAACCUGCCCAAAAGAGGGGGAUAACACUUGGAAACAGGUGCUAAUACCGCAUAACCAUAGUUACCGCAUGGUAACUAUGUAAAAGGUGGCUAUACUACCGUUUUUGGAUGGGCCCGCGGCGCAUUAGCUAGUUGGUAGGGUAAAGGCUUACCAAGGCAAUGAUGCGUAGCCGAAUUGAGAGGUUGAUCGGCCACAUUGGGACUGAGACACGGCUCAAACUCCUACGGGAGGCAGCAGUAGGGAAUCUUCCACAAUGGGCGAAAGCCCGAUGGAGCAACGCCGCGUGGGUGAAGAAGGUCUUCGGAUCGUAAAACCCUGUUGUUAGAGAAGAAAGUGCGUGAGAGUAACUGUUCACGUUUCGACGGUAUCUAACCAGAAAGCCACGGCUAACUACGUGCCAGCAGCCGCGGUAAUACGUAGGUGGCAAGCGUUAUCCGGAUUUAUUGGGCGUAAAGGGAACGCAGGCGGUCUUUUAAGUCUGAUGUGAAAGCCUUCGGCUUAACCGGAGUAGUGCAUUGGAAACUGGGAGACUUGAGUGCAGAAGAGGAGAGUGGAACUCCAUGUGUAGCGGUGAAAUGCGUAGAUAUAUGGAAGAACACCAGUGGCGAAAGCGGCUCUCUGGUCUGUAACUGACGCUGAGGUUCGAAAGCGUGGGUAGCAAACAGGAUUAGAUACCCUGGUAGUCCACGCCGUAAACGAUGAAUGC
rnacentral:rRNA from 1 species